GGGUGUAGAGCUUACUUUUAAAAAAAUAAUUAAAAGUUUGUGUGUAUAUAUAUAUAUACACAUAUGUACGUAUGUAUGUAUAUAUAAUUCAAAUACUGUAAAAUUCGCCUGUUUAAAGUAUAUGAUUCUGCAGUUUUUAGUGUAUUCACAAAGUUGUGCAAUGCCACUACUGUAAUUUUGGAACAUUUUCAUCGUCACAAAAAGAAAAACUAUGCCCGUUAACAGUUACUCCCCAUCUUCCUUUCCCCCAGCUCCUGAGAACUACUAAUUUACUUCGUAAUUCUUUUUUUUUUUUUUUUUUUUUUUUUAACGUUUAUUUAUUUUUGACAGAGAGACAGAGCAUGAGCAGGGGAGGGACAGAGUGAGAGGGAGACACAGAAUCCGAAGCAGGUUCCAGGCUCUGAGUUGUCAGCACAGAGCCCGACGCAGGGCUCGAUCUCACAAACCUUGAGAUCAUGACCUGAGCCGAAUUUAGAUGCUCCACCGACUGAGCCACCCAGGCACCCCUAAUUUACUUUGUAUUUCUAUAGAUUUGCCUGUUUUGGACAUUUUAUCAUAUAACUGGAAUCAUACGCUCUGCGGCCUUUUGUGUCUGACUUCUUUCACAUGGCAUAAUGUCUUAAAGGCUAAAGACUUAGCCAUGUCUUUAUGGCUGAAUAAUAUACCAUUGUAUGAAUAUACUACAUUUUUAUCCCAUUAUUUGUCUGGAUAUUUGGAUUCCUUCCAAAUUUGACGAUUUCAAAUAAUGCUACUGUGAACAUUCAUGUACACGUUUUUGUGUGAACAUGUUUUCAUUUCUCUUGAGUAUAUACCUGGGUCAUGUGCUAAUGCUUUUUACGCAUUUGGGGAACUACCAGAGUGCCUGAGCGGCUGCACCAUCUUAAACUUCCACCAUCGUGGAAUCUGCAUCCUCACCAGCAAUGCCAGUGGGUAGGAAGCAGUAUCUCCCUGUGCUUUUGAUUUACAUUUUCCAGAUGAUUAAUGGAUGUUGUAUAUGUUUUCAUGUGCUUACUGGCCAUUUGUGUAUCUUUGGGAGAAUUGGCAGUUCCAAAUCUUUGCUCAUGUUUUAAUUGGGUUGUCUUUGUUAAGUUGUAAUAUUACUUUAUAUAUUGUGGAUACUGUGCUUUUAUCAGUUACAGGAUUUACAAAUAUAUUCUCCCAUUUUGUAGGUUGUCAUUUACUUGGUUGAUAGUGUCCUUUGAAACACAAAAGUUGGUAAUUCUGAUGAAGUCCAAUUUCUUUUUUUUCUUAGGUUGCUUGUGCUCUUGGUGUAAUAUGUAAGGAACCAUUGCCUAAUCCAACGUCAUGAAGAUGUACACUUAUGUUUUCAUCUAAGACUUAAAAUAUCUUAGGUGUUACAUUGAGGGUUUUGGUCCAUUUGAGUUAAUUUUUGUAUAUGGUGGGAGGAAGGGGUCCAACCUUCAUUUCUUUUCACGUGGUUGUUCAGUUGCCUGGCACCAUUUGUUGAAAUGCUAGUUAAUAGAUCCUUUUUUUUUUUAAUUUGUUGAUUUUUUAAUUUACAAAUAAUACAAAUAGAUGGUUAAAAAUUCAGUUCUUACGUAAAAGGGUAUACAGUGAAAAGUAUAUCUUCUCUCAGACGCAAUAACUAUUACCAGUAUGCGUCCGGAGGUAAUUUUAUACCUGUGCAAGCAUGUCUCGGAGAUAAAUUCAUGUCAGUAUACAUAGAUUUUGUAACUUUUGAUAGUUAUAUGUUACUUUAUUGUGAGCAUUACCAUACUUAAUUUGACUGGUAACCUAGUGCUGGACAUGAGGUGGCUUCCAGUUUUUGUGACUACAUAGUGCUUGCAUGACUCUCCUUGCCUUCAGGUCUUAGUACUUAAGAGUUUUGAAUAAUUAACAUACCCUUGGUUUGAAAUUCUCAACUUAGGGA